rnacentral:rRNA from 1 species
UACGUAGGCAGCGAGCGUUGUUCGGAAUUAUUGGGCGUAAAGAGCUCGUAGGCGGUUUGUUGCGUCGGCUGUGAAAUCCCGAGGCUCAACCUCGGGUCUGCAGUCGAUACGAGCAAACUAGAGUGUUGCAGGGGAGACUGGAAUUCCUGGUGUAGCGGUGAAAUGCGCAGAUAUCAGGAGGAACACCGGUGGCGAAGGCGGGUCUCUGGGCAACAACUGACGCUGAGGAGCGAAAGCGUGGGGAGCGAACAGG